UACGAAGGGGGCUAGCGUUGCUCGGAAUCACUGGGCGUAAAGGGUGCGUAGGCGGGUCUUUAAGUCAGGGGGUGAAAUCCUGGAGCUCAACUCCAGAACUGCCUUUGAUACUGAAGAUCUUGAGUUCGGAAGAGGUGAGUGGAAUUGCGAGUGUAGAGGUGAAAUUCGUAGAUAUUCGCAGGAACACCAGUGGCGAAGGCGGCUUACUGGUCCGGUUCUGACGCUGAGGCGCGAAAGCGUGGGGAGCAAACAGG
rnacentral:rRNA from 1 species